UACGGAGGGUGCGAGCGUUGUCCGGAAUCACUGGGCGUAAAGCGCGCGCAGGCGGUCUUCCAAGUCAGUGGUGAAAGCCCGGAGCUCAACUCCGGAACUGCCAUUGAAACUGUUGGACUUGAGUACGAGAGAGGUGAGUGGAAUUCCCAGUGUAGAGGUGAAAUUCGUAGAUAUUGGGAAGAACACCGGUGGCGAAGGCGGCUCACUGGCUCGUAACUGACGCUCAGGCGCGACAGCGUGGGGAUCAAACAGG
rnacentral:rRNA from 1 species